AUAUCAAUAAGCGGAGGAAAAGAAACCAACAGGGAUUCCCCUAGUAACGGCGAGUGAAGCGGGAACAGCUCAAAUUUGAAAGCUGGCCUUCUGGUCCGCAUUGUAAUUUGUAGAGGAUGCUUUUGGCGCGGUGCCUUCUGAGUUCCUUGGAACAGGACGCCUUAGAGGGUGAGAGCCCCGUACAGUUGGACACCUAGCCUUUGUAAAGCUCCUUCGACGAGUCGAGUAGUUUGGGAAUGCUGCUCUAAAUGGGAGGUAAAUUUCUUCUAAAGCUAAAUACCGGCCAGAGACCGAUAGCGCACAAGUAGAGUGAUCGAAAGAUGAAAAGCACUUUGAAAAGAGGGUUAAAUAGCACGUGAAAUUGUUGAAAGGGAAGCGCUUAUGACCAGACUUUUUCCUGGCGAAUCAUCCGGCGUUCUCGCCGGUGCACUUCGUCAGGUUUAGGCCAACAUCGAUUUCCGCCGGGGGAUAAAGGCUUCGGGAAUGUGACUCCCCACGGGGAGUGUUAUAGCCCGUUGCGUAAUACCCUGGCGGGGAUCGAGGUUCGCGCUUCGGCAAGGAUGUUGGCAUAAUGGUCAUCAGUGACCCGUCUUGAAACACGGACCAAGGAGUCGAACAUUUGUGCGAGUGUUUGGGUGUUAAACCCUCACGCGUAAUGAAAGUGAACGGAGGUGAGAGCCUUAGGGUGCAUCAUCGACCGAUCCUGAUGUCUUCGGAUGGAUUUGAGUAAGAGCAUAAAUGUUCGGACCCGAAAGAUGGUGAACUAUGCGUGGAUAGGGUGAAGCCAGAGGAAACUCUGGUGGAGGCUCGCAGCGGUUCUGACGUGCAAAUCGAUCGUCAAAUCUGCGCAUGGGGCGAAAGACUAAUCGA
rnacentral:rRNA from 1 species